rnacentral:lncRNA from 1 species
CUGACCUUAUAGGUUCAUUUAUCAUUAGGAGCAAGGUGAGGCCAAUCCCUUUGAUGCAACAUAUUAUAAGGAUGGUAAGCUGAGGUGGCGGAGGAAUUAGGCAUGGGGAUGCCCAUGUGGCCAUGGGGCAUGCCCGACAUCAUGGGAGGUGGAUAUGGCAUGGACAUCAGGGGAGGUGGAUAUGGCAUGGACAUCAUCGGAACAGAGAGAUGACCAUGACCAUGACCAUGACCAUGACCACGGCCAUUGCUAUGGCCAUGCCCAUGACCAUGACCAUUGCUAUGGUUACUGGGAGGAGCAGAGUCAUGCAAGCUCUGAGGCAC